UACGUAGGGUGCGAGCGUUAAUCGGAAUACUGGGCGUAAAGCGUGCGCAGGCGGUUCGUUAAGACAGAUGUGAAAUCCCCGGGCUUAACCUGGGAACUGCAUUUGUGACUGGCGAGCUAGAGUAUGGCAGAGGGGGGGUAGAAUUCCACGUGUAGCAGUGAAAUGCGUAGAGAUGUGGAGGAAUACCGAUGGCGAAGGCAGCCCCCUGGGCCAAUACUGACGCUCAUGCACGAAAGCGUGGGGGAGCAAACGAGGAUUAGAGUACCCGGG
rnacentral:rRNA from 1 species